GGAGUUCCUUGAAUUAUUUGAGAAUGCUUAAGCUUAAAAUCUUUAGAUUUUAAUACAAUGUAGGUGCCCACUAUAUACAGGUUUUGGAUGAUUUUGGCACAUUUUGGAACUGCUAUGUUGCCAUGGAAACUACACCAAAAAUUUCAAAAAUAUGGAAAUGCUCCAAUUUUUUUGAAACUUUAGCAUAACGAUGAGCAACUUUGGUAAAUGUGGAAUUUGGCGUUGGAAUUUCCAAAAUGUCUGCCGUUUCCAUGGAAACAAUGCAAAAAGGUCAAAAUGCUCCAAAAACUUCCGGGUUUGGUGAAUAACUUUGGUAUGCUUGAACUUAAAAUCAUCAAAUUUUUAUGCAAUAUAGUUGUCCACUAUAUACAGGUUUUGAAUGAUUUUGAUAAUCAUUGGAACUACUAUGUUACCAUGGAUACAGGAGCAAAAAUUUCAGAAUGAUUCAAAAUUGAUGAAACUUGAUAUGAUUGUUAACUGUCAAGUCUAGAUAUGACUUUUGAAGUUGGAAUUUCCAAAAUGGCCACGGUUGCCAUGGAAACUGCAAAAAUGUCAAAAAUUCUCAAAAUGGUUUUAACUUAAUGAAAUUUGAUAUUAUUGGUAACUGACAAGUUAAGAUGAGACUUUUGACUUUGAAAUUUUCAAAAUGGCUGCCGUUGCCAUGGAAACGGUAUAAAUGUGAAAUACUUUAAAAUGCUCUGAAUAUACUGAACAUUUACAAAAAGAUGAAUAGCCAUGCAUAUUUGUGCAUUUACUGUUAAACAAGUUUGAAAUGGCUGCCGCUUAGUGGCAAUAGGGGGAAGGGUGACAUCCGCUAUUGCUUGCAAUGGCAAUUCUAGUUU
rnacentral:lncRNA from 1 species